GCCCCCAUCGUCUAGCGGCCUAGGACACUGGCCUUUCAAGCCAGAGGCAGGGGUUCGAACCCCCUUGGGGGCGCCA
rnacentral:tRNA from 1 species